UAACAACACACAACAUUCCAGGAAUGUACUACCAAAGUUCUAUCAAUAUUUGAAUGUCCUGGACAUUUAGGGAACAUUCGGUGAACAUCUGAUUAAAUUAUUCCUGGAGUGUUACCAUAAGACAUUCUGUGAACAUACUACCAAUGUUCCUAUAUUUUAAGUUGCCAAAUAAUAAAUACGUGUAACAGAUAUAACAUUACUUAUAACAGAAACUUGUGCAAAAACGAAGAGAGGCAUUUAUAAUUAUUAUUCUUUUGCGUUCAUUUUCAAAUUCACGGCGCAUGUAUUUGUGCAUGGUGCUUAGAGAGGGCAUCACGUGACUAAAAACGACCAACGACCUCACUUGGACUUCGGCGCUUCGGCAAUCUUGGCAUGCAUCUUGGCCUUGGCCAUCUUGCCGUUCGUGACCGUUGUUUGUUUUUAUUUGUGCUUUUUAAGAAUAUUUUUUAAUUCGGGUACUUUUGUAAUAACUUUAAUAGUAUUAUUAACAUAGUGCAUAAAAUCAGUUGGAGUAGCAGAAGCAAUGUAGAUAAAAAAUCUGCAGGAAUAACGUUUCAAAGCUUUCCAGAAGAUCCUGCGAAGAAGGCAUGAAGUAUAGAUCAGAUUUGUUAAUAGAGCAGUAUGUACAAAACAUUUUUUAGAUAAAGAUAUUGACAGAAAUUCACUUUCAACUGUUCGUUUGAGAGACUGUGCUGUUCCAAUAGCUUAUAUCACACAGAAUCAGCUGAGAGAAGUGGUCUACAAAAAACCAGGAAGGAAAUGGAAUAUGUGGCUACGAAAGGCAAAAGAAAGGUUUACAAAGCAAAUGUGAUACAUUUUUUUAUAGGAAUAUCAGUAAAUUACAUUAAAAAAAUGUAUGAAAAGAUUUUUUGCAAU